CAGCCAGGAGGUAGAACUAAUUGGUAAAAUCAACUGGCUGAGUUCAUGGGUGGAAGAAACACACAACAAAACUUUUCCUUUCUUACCCCUGGACUCGUCACUUCUGUUGUCAAGAUACUCAGUACAAGCACGAGCGGGGUCCUGGAGUCACAGGCUCAAGCGGGGGCCACAUAAAUCUGUAUUAUACAUUUCAUCCAACUAGCAAAAGCAAUAUGCAGUAUUGGGGGUUCGCAAAUGUGGUGCUGAUUAGUCACAAGUUCUGCUGGUUUUUGUUUUAUACUUAAAACAAGCAACUAAUUCAGUCCCAAUAAUUACUGUUUGAUCUUUUCACCACUGUUUGGUGUUGCAGACCCUCACAGACAACAACGGAGGCAGUUGAACCCCCAGUCUCAUUCUGAACAAGAAGAAAAUGAAAACUACUCAAUGAUUCAAAUGGAUAAAUGAAACAAAGCCCACGUUUAAAGUUGACAUUUCAAGUCUGUUCAGCGCAGCUCAAUUAGAGAU